rnacentral:lncRNA from 1 species
GAGACACACUACAACAGGAGAGGGAGCAAGCGCGAGAGGAUAUUAGAAGAGAGGCUUGUCUCCAAGAUAUGGAAGGAAGUGAGAAAUGACAGGGCUGCAAGCUUUGUAUGUAGGAGCCCGGCAGGGCGGGGGAGCGGCGAGGAGAGCCAAGUGGAUUCUCAGAAAAGGGGGGAAGCCAUCGAAGAGCUAAAGGUGAUUAGAGGGGGAUAUUGAUUUCUUAUUCUGCCAGAGAUUUAAGCAGGCAUGCGAGGAAUCUGCACCAUGGUUGGCAAAAAGAGACCCGUUGCCUCCUGUAACCAGACACUCAGGCUUUCCAGGAGCCCAGGGAGCAAGCCGAGAAGAAAGGGGGCAGUGUGGUCUAGGAAAAUUCAACUUGUCGCUGAUUUGUGCCUGAUGCCUGCUGUCCGUCAGCAGCCUCCCUUACAAUCUUUUUUUCUCUCUCUCCUUUUUUUUUCCUUGCCUUCUCCUUCUUCACUGAAGCCUAGGGGAGCCAGUAAAGAUUAAAUGUGCUUCUCAAAGGCAGCCACUUCAUGCUGCUAUGUCGAAAGGGCCAUUAUUAUUAUUAUAUUUUAAUGGUAAAAGAGAAAAGGAGAGAGGUUGAGCGAGCGAGAGAGAAGCUAGGUGUGAUGAUGACAGACUAGCUUUUCUGAGAGGAAAAGGAAAAGGGAAGGGAGAGAAAAAGGAGAGCCUCUGAGCUCAACGGAGGAUUGUGCCUGAGAAGAACCCACAGAGUGUCCUCCUGGCUGUGGCUGCUUUGUCAUUCUCUUUGACUAGCCAGCCAUCUACCUUGCUCAGGCCUGGAAUAAAAGAAGAACAAGAAGAAGAAAGAAAUGAAAUGAAAAACAGAAAGAAAAAGGAGAAGAAACAUUUGUAAAAGGGUCAUCUUCCCAUCUGCCUCCCCUCCUUUUCCUUUCAUUUUUGGUGGCGGCACAGGAAAGCCCCACUUCCAGUCUGAUGAGGAAAGCGACAAUCUAUCAGGUACAGAACCAGGGGCUGUCUGCGAAGAUGGAGGGGAAUUAUGCUUCGGAUUCCUCUGAAAUAUUGGCCAAAGGCUUCAAAGAAUCCGCAGCGGGAGGUGCGGGGGGAAUGUCUCUCCCCAGCCCGCACCCAGCCCUUCCCACUUCGUGUCUACCAAAUGACAGCCUGGUGCUCGCUCUUGGUGAUUUGGCCUUGACUUCAGCCAAGCAGCUGAUGCAGACGAAGCCUCCGUUUGCAGGACUGGCAAAGUGCACGCUAAAGAAAGAAGGAAGAAAUUUUUCAAAAAGCAGCUCUGGGGAGGUUUCAUACUCCCCCCCCCCCCCCGCCUUUUUUUAAUUUUUAAGUGAAUAUUUUCCAAAUUUGAUCAGUUCCAGCCCCUCCCUCCACUCCCACCCAACUGCCCUUUUUUCUCUCGUCAAAGCAUAAGCUACAGAGUUACAGUCUCGAGAUUUGGUGUAUCGCUUCCUGCCCCCGCCUCCCCUCCCCGCCCCCGUUCUCCGUCCUCUAUUGAAACACCUCGCCCAGCCUAGCGCACUGAGAGCUCUCAUUUUCCCCCCUUGCUCGGGAUGGUGCCACAGGAGGCUGUGCGGGCCCCGCUCCGCUUCGAAUGGAUACAGUUAAGCUAAUGAUCUCGAGAGGAUAUCGUCCUGGAUAAGGGUGGAGCCUACGCCCAAAAACAAGAUUACCUGAAAGAGAAAAGAAAGGGGGAAAACACACAGAGAUACAGUCGGGGAGGCCACAUGAAGAUGGAGGCAGAGACAGGAGUGAUGAGCCUGCAAGCCAAGGAAUGCCAAGGGCUGCCAGCAGCCAUGAGAAGCUGAGAGACACAGAGAACGAGUCCUCUGCCAGAGCCUCCAGAAGGAACUAACCCUGUCAAUACCUUGAUUUCGGACUUCUGGACUCCAGAACUAUAACCCUCCUUCCUCCACCUCACAAAAACUCACAAGCUGCAACCCUUCUGAUGUCCACUCCCACACAAACCAGCUUCAGGCCUUUUUCAAGCUUGCUUGGAGAAUACUUCUGAGACUUUCCAAGAGUGCAGGAAAUUCUACCCCCCAAGUAUGGCACCUUGGCAUGCUGAGUAUUUUAAGCUGAAGGAAACAGAGAAAACCACAGAAGCAGAAAGGUCUUUCUGACCUCUCUUGAAGACCCUCAUGUGACAGGUGUCCUGCCCUACAUCCAGAGAGAAGGAAUGUUCCACAGACAGACUAAGAAGAAUCUGAAGAAUCAGGCCUUACUAAGUGCCCUCCAGUGGAUGCUGUGGGGCACCACCUCCUUGAGGACCAAGGCACUCCAGCUGCCAGGAAUUUGGCUGCUAACCUCACACAGCUGAGCCUUCCAUGAAAAUUGCUCUCUGCCAAAGAGAACUUCCUAGUCCAAGGUCAUGUCUACUCUCCAGAGAUGUGACUGGAGUGAUUUGCACCCGGAUGCCUAGACUCGCCAUCUGCUCAAAGACUGCUCAGAAAGCCCUCCCAUGCAUUCCCCUGCUGCAUACCAGCCCACUCUGCCUGCAGCUGCUGUCUGCAGGACUUCAUAUCUAUGCCACACUGUGUAAAAGCUGUGCUUCAAGAAAUCACAAAAACAUUUUCCUGCACCUACUACACAGCCUGAGUGCGGCAUAAGUUGACCUUGCUUGCUAAGAAAUGGGGCAAGAAAUGCUUUUUUGUGUGUGUCAUGUCUGUUUGUUUUUCAAUUAAGAGAGGAAAGCAUUAGGCAGAUGGAAUGUACAUGUGAGGAUGAGGAGACAGAAAACAAGUAGCCCUUUCCAUCAAGAUAGAGGGUUUUCUGGGGUUGCUGGCUAUUGAAUGUCACUCCUGAUUUCUCUUUCCAAGGCACUGUACCACCAGCCUACUGAGAUUGUGUGGGAGCUUUCAUGGGGGUUGUAUUUCACUGAUGAAAAUAAAUUUUUUGCAUAAUGUG